GUGCCAGCCGCCGCGGUAAUACGUAGGUGGCAAGUGUUGUCCGGAAUUAUUGGGCGUAAAGCGCGCGCAGGCGGUCUCUUAAGUCUGAUGUGAAAGCCCACGGCUCAACCGUGGAGGGUCAUUGGAAACUGGGGGACUUGAGUACAGAAGAGGAAAGUGGAAUGCCACGUGUAGCGGUGAAAUGCGUAGAUAUGUGGAGGAACACCAGUGGCGAAGGCGACUUUCUGGUCUGUAACUGACGCUGAGGCGCGAAAGCGUGGGGAGCAAACAGGAUUAGAAACCCGUGUAGUCC
rnacentral:rRNA from 1 species